GGCUUAACACAUGCAAGUCGAGGGGCAGCACGGGAGUAGCAAUACAACUGGUGGCGACCGGCGCACGGGUGAGUAACGCGUAUGCAACCUACCUAUCAGAGGGGAAUAACCCGGCGAAAGUCGGACUAAUACCGCAUAAAACAGGGGCACCGCAUGGUGCUAUUUGUUAAAGAACUUCGCUGAUAGAUGGGCAUGCGUUCCAUUAGGUAGUUGGUGAGGUAACGGCUCACCAAGCCGACGAUGGAUAGGGGAACUGAGAGGUUGGUCCCCCACACUGGUACUGAGACACGGACCAGACUCCUACGGGAGGCAGCAGUGAGGAAUAUUGGUCAAUGGGCGAGAGCCUGAACCAGCCAAGUCGCGUGAAGGAAGAAGGAUCUAUGGUUCGUAAACUUC
rnacentral:rRNA from 1 species